CUAUCUAUCUUUAUAUAUAUUUUUUUGUUUGGGGUGUUGUGCACAAAGGGUUUGGGGAAAUUGGGAGUGUGCACUUGUUUUUUGGGCAGCGUGCUGCCACUUUGUUUGGAGGAAGCAUGGCGACCACAGGUGUGGGGAGUACAAGUCUCCUCAUGCGGCGCCAUGCAGUUAAAGUGGCAUCUGCGGCAAGUGUUGAGGAAUGUCGCAUGGCUGUUGGAGAAGUUGUGGGGCACGAGUGCAUUUUAUCAGCCUCUAGAAAAAUGUAGAUGGUUGAUACCAAACAUGUCUUACAGAGGGUGCACUCUUGUUGUAAACAAUUUGGUUGCAUCCUCCCUAUGGCACAGGCUGGCCUGUGUGGAUCCUCCACUACACCUUUUAGCUGUAACUCAAGCUGUUCUUGUGGACUUCUUCUGGGAUAAACUGCACUGGAUUCCACAGAGUGUUUUACACUUACCUAAGGAAGAAGGAGGGCAAGGACUGAUACAUUUACAAAGCAGAGCUGCUGCUUUUCGUUUGCAGUUUUUACAGAGAUUGUUUGAUGGUGCAACUGAUUUUAGCUGGAGAGCUAUUGCCUGUGUCAUACUGCAAAUAUUUGGGGGGUUUGGGUUGGAUAAACAUCUUUUUUUUUAUUGAACCCUCUGAAAAUGGAUUUGUCAGAGAUGCCUUCUUUUUAUCGAAACCUUUUUAAAGUGUGGAGUUUGUUUCACAUUCAAAAGACUGAAAGCUCAUACUCUCUUCAUUGGUUGUUAGAGGAACCUUUGAUACUCGGAGCCCGUCUGGACAUUACUAACAGUUGAAACUUACAUGGAUUUAGUACUUUACUCCAAAAAUCCAGGAUCAUCAUCUUGGGUCAGAUGUUGACUUUGGCUGGCUCAAAUUUGAAGAAUGCAGAGAUAACAUCCCAGCAUUUGGGAAUCAGAUCUGUUCGUUUGGUUUCUCUUUUUUUUUUUUGUGGUUAAUUUGAAGUCGGCUCUCACAGCUGAAGAGAACCAAAUGCUGAAGGACUAUUACUCGGGGAGCUGCCAGCUCAGUGGAUUUGUUGACAGCAUGGCCGUAUCAGCAGAAAAGCAUAUAAUACAGGAACAUUAUGUGCCAUCAUACGGCCCCCACAAAUAAACUUUCCUCCCCACAUCAGUGCUCUGUGGAGUGGGACAGCACAGGACACAGGCAAGGGGAGGCUGGGAAUCUAAAACAGAUGCAUCGGACAGGGGGCUGGGUGCUGUACAUUAGGAGGGGGAGGAUCGCCUGGUGCUGUACAUUAGUCGGAAGCUCUCUAUGAGAGAGAUGAAGUACAUCAACAUAGAGGAGGAGUGUUUGGCCAUCAAGUGGGUGGUCCAUACUCUCUGCUACUAUUUGUUGGAACAAGCAUUCACCCUCUGUUCAGACCAUGCCCCACUCCAAUGGCUUCACCAAAUGAAGGAUGCCAACGUCCAGAUCACCCGUUGGUAUCUGGUACUCCAGCCGUUUAAGUUUGAGGUGGUCCACAGACCGGGGGGCAGAUGGCUGUUGUGGACUUCCUCUCCAAAAAGGGGGGGGUGUUGGGCAGACCAGACAGUUCCCCCAGCCCGAGUCGGGUUUUGGGGGUAUGUGAAAGCGAGGGCGUGGUCGAGCACCUGUCUAGGGAGAGAGGAAGCGGUAAGGAGGUUCACCUGAGAUUAAUUUGCUGGUAAUUACUGUUUCUGUGUUUGCAGUGAGAGACGGGUGAGAUAAAAACGGCCCGGUGAACAGAGAGAGGGAGAGGGGCACACGAGAGACUACAUGUCUAUUAAUGAGUGUUUAUGCAUGCUGAAAAGCGGAUCUUUAUUUGUAUAAGCUGAGAAGCGAACCCUUUGUGUGUAAGCUGAAAAGCGUUUUCUGUUUGUUGAUAAAUUAAAAACUGACUCAAAUGGAAACCGGCUCCCGCUUCCUCCUUUAUUUGCCCAACAACAAACCUUUGUUACAAACGCAUUGCUUAAUCUGAGAAACACUUAUAAGAGAGCAAGACACAACAGCCAAAGACCUCCACCAACUGUAAGGGCCUGCUCACACCG